rnacentral:rRNA from 2 species
UGCUCCCGGAUGUUAGCGGCGGACGGGUGAGUAACACGUGGGUAACCUGCCUGUAAGACUGGGAUAACUCCGGGAAACCGGAGCUAAUACCGGAUAGUUCCUUGAACCGCAUGGUUCAAGGAUGAAAGACGGUUUCGGCUGUCACUUACAGAUGGACCCGCGGCGCAUUAGCUAGUUGGUGGGGUAAUGGCUCACCAAGGCGACGAUGCGUAGCCGACCUGAGAGGGUGAUCGGCCACACUGGGACUGAGACACGGCCCAGACUCCUACGGGAGGCAGCAGUAGGGAAUCUUCCGCAAUGGACGAAAGUCUGACGGAGCAACGCCGCGUGAGUGAUGAAGGUUUUCGGAUCGUAAAGCUCUGUUGUUAGGGAAGAACAAGUGCGAGAGUAACUGCUCGCACCUUGACGGUACCUAACCAGAAAGCCACGGCUAACUACGUGCCAGCAGCCGCGGUAAUACGUAGGUGGCAAGCGUUGUCCGGAAUUAUUGGGCGUAAAGGGCUCGCAGGCGGUUUCUUAAGUCUGAUGUGAAAGCCCCCGGCUCAACCGGGGAGGGUCAUUGGAAACUGGGAAACUUGAGU